AUGGUCUUCCCGUAAUUCUGAGCUUUCUGGAUAACGGGUUUCCGGAUAACAGAUCCUAUACCUGUAUGUACAGGUAGAAGCUCAUUUCUGCGUCAGAUGGACAGUUACACUGGCUGCCUUUGGAUGCUCUACAGUUUGCAACUAUGGGAAGGAUCUGCAUCCAAUCUGUAGAUGAAUUGGGGAAAAGAAAUAUGCCAGUAAGAAGCAGAAGAAAAGAGAAGGAUAAAGCAGAAGGGAUAGAAUUGAGAUCAGAAGACAGAGGAAGACAUUUCCCUGGGACACUCUCAGGUAAG